rnacentral:rRNA from 1 species
CCUACGGGAGGCAGCAGUGAGGAAUAUUGGUCAAUGGGCGCGAGCCUGAACCAGCCAAGUAGCGUGAAGGAUGACGGCCCUACGGUUUGUAAACUUCUUUUAUAGGGGAGUAAAGUGAGCCACGUGUGCCGUUUUGUAUGUACUUUAUGAAUAAGGAUCGGCUAACUCCGUGCCAGCAGCCGCGGUAAUACGGAGGAUACGAGCGUUAUCCGGAUUUAUUGGGUGUAAAGGGAGCGUAGAUGGGUAGUUAAGUCAGUUGUGAAAGUGUGAGGCUCAACCGUAGAACUGCAUGUGAUACUGGCAGCCUUGAGUACAGUUGAGGUAGGCGGAAUUCGUGGUGUAGCGGUGAAA